rnacentral:rRNA from 1 species
GACGAACGCUGGCGGCGUGCCUAACACAUGCAAGUCAAGGAGAAUUCCCGACUUGUCGGGAUAGUAAACUGGCGAACGGGUGAGUAUCACGUGGGUAAUCUUCCUUUAAGUGGGGAAUAAGCUCUCGAAAGGGAGUCUAAUACCGCAUGACAUUCCGGGACACAAGUCCCGUAAUCAAAGCCGCAAGGCGCUUGAAGAUGAGCCUGCGUCCUAUUAGCUAGUUGGUGAGGUAACGGCCUACCAAGGCUCAGAUGGGUAGCCGGCCUGAGAGGGUGAACGGCCACACUGGGACUGAGACACGGCCCAGACUCCUACGGGAGGCAGCAGUAAGGAAUAUUGGGCAAUGGUCGAAAGACUGACCCAGCCAUGCCGCGUGCAGGAUGAAGGCCCUAUGGGUUGUAAACUGCUUUUAGCCGGGAAUAAACACCGUUUUAUAACGGGCCGAAGGUACCGGCUGAAUAAGCAAUCGGCUAACUCCGUGCCAGCAGCCGCGGUAAGCAUACUCGUA